GCUACAGCAAAUGCGUAAUAGAAUCGAGGAGGAGGAAAUGUAUAAUCCCGAAUCGUUUACCGUUUCCAAUUUCAACAAGAUGGAAAUAAAAUGCGACGAGAAGGACUCCUUCGUUGCAUUGAAGAAAGAAGGACAGACCCGGCCAUUCAAAGUGAUCUCAAUUUACGAACGAGAUUCGGAAAAGUUCUUGGCGGUUCGACGUUGUUUGAAUAUACACAAUUUUUACACCACUCCUAUCGCAUCAAGCACAAUUGGCGAGAUAACAUAUGAUGGUCUAGAUUCCACAAUAGAACACUUCAAAUCAUCGGAAGUUGUUUAUAAAUACUGUAGAGUACCACACAACAACAUUUUUGUCCUGAUACCAAUUUUACAUACAGCAUUCCGUUCAUUCAAUAAGUAGCAGCUAAUUUAUUUCACAACGAUACAACGAUACAGUUUUACACAACAACACAACACAAUGCAAAAAGACUCAUUCAAUUCAACCACCACAACAUUGCCAAGUAAUAGCCUGCCAAACAAAAAACCAAUAUUUGUGACAAUACAAAAAUCUGGAAACAAUAUCAUUUUAGCGAAGCCAAAACUUAUAACAGCACCUCCUUCUCAAAUACCGAAACUUUGUGUUUCCUC